rnacentral:siRNA from 1 species
AGGUCGAGUGAGUGAAAUGGAGAG